UCCGUAGGUGGAACCUGCGGAGGGAUCAUUACACAACAAAAAUAUGAGGGUGUGGUUUGCUGGCAACAGCGUCCGCCCCAAGUAUUUUUCACCCAUGUCUUUUGCGCACUUUUUGUUUCCUGGGCGAGUUCGCUCGCCACCAGGACCCAACCAUAAACCUUUUUUUAUGCAGUUGCAAUCAGCGUCAGUAUAAUAAUUCAAUUUAUUAAAACUUUCAACAACGGAUCUCUUGGUUCUGGCAUCGAUGAAGAACGCAGCGAAAUGCGAUACGUAGUGUGAAUUGCAGAAUUCAGUGAAUCAUCGAAUCUUUGAACGCACAUUGCGCCCUUUGGUAUUCCAAAGGGCAUGCCUGUUCGAGCGUCAUUUGUACCCUCAAGCUUUGCUUGGUGUUGGGCGUCUUUUUGUCUCUCCCCUUGUUGGGGGAGACUCGCCUUAAAACGAUUGGCAGCCGACCUACUGGUUUUCGGAGCGCAGCACAAAUUUGCGCCUUCCAAUCCACGGGGCGGCAUCCAGCAAGCCUUUGUUUUCUAUAACAAAUCCACAUUUUGACCUCGGAUCAGGUAGGGAUACCCGCUGAACUUAAGCAUAUCAAUAA
rnacentral:rRNA from 1 species